UACGGAGGGGGCUAGCGUUGUUCGGAAUUACUGGGCGUAAAGCGCACGUAGGCGGCUUUGUAAGUCAGGGGUGAAAUCCCGGGGCUCAACCUCGGAACUGCCUUUGAUACUGCAAAUCUCGAGUCCGGAAGAGGUGAGUGGAAUUCCUAGUGUAGAGGUGAAAUUCGUAGAUAUUAGGAAGAACACCAGUGGCGAAGGCGGCUCACUGGUCCGGUACUGACGCUGAGGUGCGAAAGCGUGGGGAGCGAACAGG
rnacentral:rRNA from 1 species